UCGGGAAUAUUGCGCAAUGGAGGAAACUCUGACGCAGUGAUGUCGCGUGCAGGAAGAAGGUUUUCGGAUUGUAAACUGCUUUAGACAGGGAAGAAAAAAGACAGUACCUGUAGAAUAAGCUCCGGCUAACUACGUGCCAGCAGCCGCGGUAAUACGUAGGGAGCAAGCGUUAUCCGGAUUUAUUGGGUGUAAAGGGUGCGUAGACGGGAAAUCAAGUUGGUUGUGAAAUCCCUCGGCUUAACUGAGGAACUGCAACCAAAACUAAUUUUCUUGAGUGCUGGAGAGGAAAGUGGAAUUCCUAGUGUAGCGGUGAAAUGCGUAGAUAUUAGGAGGAACACCAGUGGCGAAGGCGACUUUCUGGACAGUAACUGACGUUGAGGCACGAAAGUGUGGGGAGCAAACA
rnacentral:rRNA from 1 species